GAUGAACGCUAGCGGCAGGCCUAAUACAUGCAAGUCGAGGGAGAAUGUUGGAUUCGUCUGACAUGAAACCGGCGCACGGGUGCGUAACACGUAUGCAACCUACCUUUAACUGGGGUAUAGCUCAGAGAAAUCUGAAUUAAUCCCCCAUAAGACUACGACAUGGCAUCAUGAUGUAGUUAAAGCUCCGGCGGUUAAGGAUGGGCAUGCGGUACAUUAGCUAGUUGGUGAGGUAAUGGCUCACCAAGGCUACGAUGUAUAGGGGGUCUGAGAGGAUGAUGCGCCACACUGGAACUGAGACACGGACCAGACUCCUACGGGAGGAAGCAGUAGGGAAUAUUGGUCAAUGGACGCAAGUCUGAACCAGCCAUGCCGCGUGAAGGAUGAAGGCCCUAUGGGUCGUAAACUUCUUUUAUUAGGGAAGAAAAAACGGGAUGCGUCCUGUACUGACGGUACUUAAUGAAUAAGGAUCGGCUAACUUCGUGCCAGCCGCCGCAGUAA
rnacentral:rRNA from 1 species